rnacentral:tRNA from 1 species
AAUAGGAUGCCUGACUAAAGGAUUAUUUUGAUAGAAUAAAUUAAGUAAAUUUUUACUCCUAUUG